AUUGAACGCUGGCGGCAGGCUUAACACAUGCAAGUCGAACGCACCGCAAGGUGAGUGGCAGACGGGUGAGUAACGCGUGGGAACCUACCUAUCGGUACGGAAUAACUCAGGGAAACUUGAGCUAAUACCGUAUGCGCCCUUUGGGGGAAAGAUUUAUCGCCGAUAGAUGGGCCCGCGUCUGAUUAGCUAGUUGGUGGGGUAACGGCCUACCAAGGCGACGAUCAGUAGCUGGUCUGAGAGGAUGAUCAGCCACACUGGGACUGAGACACGGCCCAGACUCCUACGGGAGGCAGCAGUGGGGAAUAUUGGACAAUGGGGGCAACCCUGAUCCAGCCAUGCCGCGUGAGUGAUGAAGGCCUUAGGGUUGUAAAGCUCUUUCGCCGGUGAAGAUAAUGACGGUAACCGGAGAAGAAGCCCCGGCUAACUUCGUGCCAGCAGCCGCGGUAAAAC
rnacentral:rRNA from 1 species